rnacentral:rRNA from 1 species
UACGUAGGGGGCAAGCGUUACUCGGAUUUACUGGGCGUAAAGCGAAUUCAGGCGGUCUUGUAAGUCAGUGGUGAAAUCCCUCGGCUCAACUGAGGAAUUGCCUCUGAUACUGCUUGACUUGAGGACAGGAGAGGAAAGUGGAAUUCCCGGUGUAGCGGUGGAAUGCGUAGAUAUCGGGAGGAACACCAGAGGCGAAGGCGGCUUUCUGGACUGGUCCUGACGCUGAUAUUCGAAAGCUAGGGGAGCAAACAGG